GAUGCCAAAGGUGUGGAGCGCGCAGUUGGAGCCCGAAGCAGAAGGGGCAGCAGAGAGGCAGGAAAGUUUCGUGGCUGUGGGCUGAUUCCGAAAGCAGAGGCCACGAGAGCGUUUCGGGGAAGGGGCCCAGGCGCCCACCGCCCACGGGGACAUCGGGAGCCAGAAGUGGACAUUAAGGAAUGUGAGGGAAGCCAAUCAGGGGCGAGGCGCCGUGUCCCACGCCCAGGACACCCGCGGGGGAAGGCCGAGUUAGCUAAGAAAUGAAAACAUAUGAUCAACGAAUUUUAGUCCCAAGGGCCCCGACUUUGUGCCAAGGAGAGAGAUGCACGCGUGUUGGGAAGAUGGAGAUAGACGUGGGCCGCGGACCAAGGUGCACGUCCAGUACCUACGCUCUGGGGCCCAGCAGGGAGUGAGUCACUGCCCUUCACAUGCAAAGGAAAAGGCCUUUUGGCCUAACUGGGAAGUCUGCUUCUUCCUGAUUUGGAAAAAAUAAAAUAAAAUAAAAACUGAUACCUCUUA